rnacentral:rRNA from 1 species
GGAUCGAACGGCGUAGCUACAGGCUUAACACAUGCAAGUCGAGGGGCGAGCGAUAGGAACUUAGCUUGCUAAGUUUGAUGGCGACCGGCGCACGGGUGAGUAACACGUAUCCAACCUGCCGAUGACUCGGGGAUAGCCUUUCGAAAGAAAGAUUAAUACCCGAUGGCAUAGUUCUUCCGCAUGGUAGAACUAUUAAAGAAUUUCGGUCAUCGAUGGGGAUGCGUUCCAUUAGGUUGUUGGCGGGGUAACGGCCCACCAAGCCUUCGAUGGAUAGGGGUUCUGAGAGGAAGGUCCCCCACAUUGGAACUGAGACACGGUCCAA